GCUUCAACUUUUUUUUUUUUGAUGGCAAAAUAACUUCUCUUUAUGAAACAAUCAGUACUUCAUAUAUCUAUUAUAACAGAGUAAGUCAACAAAAGCCCUUUUAUUUGAAUGAACAAGAAUCCGUUGUGUGCUGCUCAGCUAUGUGCCCCUUUUCCAAAUGUUAUAAAUGUUAUCUUAACUUAGUUGUCACAUAGAAGUUGGUUUGGGCUACUGGGCUCAUUUGAUGUUUGCAUGACUUAUUUGAACCCGAUGCCGGCCUCACCGGCAUCCUGAGGCGACAGAGCGACGGCCGCGCUCGACACCCUCUUUCGCAACUCGACGACAGCCUAGCGUCAUAGGCGACCCAUUUGGGUGGGCGACAACGACCACAGCUGGUGCACGCGCUCACACUCAACCCGUCCAUACUCAACUCUUCCUCUCGGGUGCGGACUGAGAAUUGGAUGCUCUGUGCCAGCAUAUGGAAGUGUUGUGACCACUGUUGUUCCGGAUGUGAGAUUUGUAAGUUUUUUGCUUGGGAGCCAUCUAUUCAGCCAUGUUGGAGUAGGCUAUAUGAUUUUUUCAGUUCUGACCACGUAUGCUUCUUCCUUGGUCUAUUCACCAAGUCAUGGACACCGACUCAAAAAAUGAACAAGGUUACCCCUUCAGCUGCAGGUGCAGGGUUGACGGUGACACUGCAGAUGUAGCUUCUCUGACCGCUACCGAAGACACCGCUGAACAGCUUAACCAAACAAAGACAAAGUGCUGUUAUGUAGGCAUGGUUUAAAAACUAGAGCCUUUGGCUGGUCAAGUACCCUUGCCAAAGCGUUCGUGUAAUCUCUUCAAGUUGUAUGAAGCAAAUUCUAUGUAUGUAACACCCAGGAAGAAUAUUAUAAUAAUUAUAUAGAAGCAGAGAAUCAACCUUGCUAGAGCGUUUGUCAAAUAUCUACUCGAGUAGCCUUGCCAAACUUUAUCUGAUGUGUUCUUCACAUGUUGUUUCA